UACAGAGGUCUCAAGCGUUGUUCGGAUUCAUUGGGCGUAAAGGGUGCGUAGGCGGCUCUCUAAGUCCCGUGUGAAAGCCCUCGGCUUAACCGAGGAACUGCACGAGAAACUGGAGAGCUUGAGUGUGGGAGAGAUUGGUAGAAUACCUGGUGUAGUGGUGAAAUGCGUAGAUAUCGGGAGGAACACCAGUGGCGAAGGCGGCUGCCUGGGCCAGUUCUGACGCUGAGGCGCGAAAGCGUGGGGAGCAAACAGG
rnacentral:rRNA from 1 species